UGAGAUACACUGAAAUACUGACUGAAACUGUGAGAGCUAUCAUGUAACCAACAUGCCCCUAUCUGAGCUAAUCGAGGUCCAACCUGUAACCCAUGUUGGAAGAGUGUCAGUAUCUUGCCACGAGUACUAACACAUAGCUGUGUGGAUCCACUAAUUUGUUACCCCGAAGGACUAGGGUGUCAAGCCUAAAUUGAUGGGUGACCCUUGAGAGAAAUUCAAGCCUAAACUAAUGGGUGACCCCUCAUAACCUAUGCUAACUACGUAGUUUUGGAACUCAGGGACUGCUACUAAUGACUUUGCCUAAACUAACGAGAGAGCCACGAUUCCUACAUUCGCUCAAUUCUAAGUCCU
rnacentral:lncRNA from 1 species